rnacentral:rRNA from 1 species
GAUGAACGCUGGCGGCGUGCUUAACACAUGCAAGUCGAACGGAAAGGCCCAAGCUUGCUUGGGUACUCGAGUGGCGAACGGGUGAGUAACACGUGGGUGAUCUGCCCUGCACUUCGGGAUAAGCCUGGGAAACUGGGUCUAAUACCGGAUAGGACGAUGGUUUGGAUGCCAUUGUGGAAAGUUUUUUCGGUGUGGGAUGAGCUCGCGGCCUAUCAGCUUGUUGGUGGGGUAAUGGCCUACCAAGGCGUCGACGGGUAGCCGGCCUGAGAGGGUGUACGGCCACAUUGGGACUGAGAUACGGCCCAGACUCCUACGGGAGGCAGCAAUGGGGAAUAUUGCACAAUGGGCGCAAGCCUGAGGCAGCGACGCCGCGUGGGGGAUGACGGCCUUCGGGUUGUAAACUCCUUUCGCUAGGGACGAAGCGUUUUUGUGACGGUACCUGGAGAAGAAGCACCGGCUAACUACGUG